rnacentral:rRNA from 1 species
UGGGGAAUUUUGGACAAUGGGCGCAAGCCUGAUCCAGCCAUGCCGCGUGCAGGAAGAAGGCCUUCGGGUUGUAAACCGCUUUUGUCAGGGAAGAAAUCUUCUGAGUUAAUACCUCGGGAGGAUGACGGUACCUGAAGAAUAAGCACCGGCUAACUACGUGCCAGCAGCCGCGGUAAUACGUAGGGUGCAAGCGUUAAUCGGAAUUACUGGGCGUAAAGCGUGCGCAGGCGGUUUUGUAAGACAGAGGUGAAAUCCCCGGGCUCAACCUGGGAACUGCCUUUGUGACUGCAAGGCUUGAGUGCGGCAGAGGGGGGAUGGAAUUCCGCGUGUAGCAGUGAAAUGCGUAGAUAUGCGGAGGAACACCGAUGG